rnacentral:misc_RNA from 1 species
GAUGAAGAACGCAGCGAAAUGCGAUACGUAAUGUGAGUUGCAGAAUUCAGUGAAUCAUCGAGUCUUUGAACGCACAUUGCGCCCCCUGGUAUUCCGGGGGGCAUGCCUGUCCGAGCGUCAUUGCUGCCCUCAAGCACGGCUUGUGUGUUGGGCCUCCGUCCUCCUCCCGGGGGACGGGCCCGAAAGGCAGCGGCGGCACCGCGUCCGGUCCUCGAGCGUAUGGGGCUUCGUCACCCGCUCUUGUAGGCCCGGCCGGCGCUUGCCGACACAUCAAUCUUUUUUCCAGGUUGACCUCGGAUCAGGUAGGGAUACCCGCUGAACUUAAGCAUAUCAAUAAGCGGAGGA